rnacentral:sRNA from 1 species
GAAACUCCUCCCCCUAAAUUACCUCCAAGAAUUCGAAAAAGGCCAGUAUCCUACCCAACCAAAGAGGAAGCAUUGUCACCUCCAAAUGGAAUUAUCCAUGAUAAGUCUAAUGGUGAAAGGCAGUUUCCGCAACCUCUGACAAAGACGAAUGUAACAAAACAUGAUCAAAUAUGGACAAAGGAGGAGAAGGACAAACCAAUCAAUAGUGUGUUAAGUCCCCCCCUGAAUCACAUCACUCCGGAAUCCACUGAGGAAAUGUGGGAGAAAUUUGAUCGGUUGGAUGUUUUGGAUUCAGCGAGUGACCAUAGUGAUUCUUCAGCGGAUACAAUGAUUAUGAUGACCACAGAAGAGGAGGAAAAGAACCAGAGUCGAAUCACACAAAGCAUGCAGAAAUUCAAAACACAAAAAGACCCAGUGUUUGAUAGAAACAUGCAAAUUCAGUUUGAAAGUACUAGUAAUAAUGAUUCAGUGGAAGAGAGCAAAAAAUCCACCAAAAGCAUCAGUCAGUUGUCUCCGAAAUCUGAGGAUACGGAUGAUGGUUACGGAACAAAUUCAAGUCAAGGAACCACAGUGUCAUCCCCAUUGUCUUCAAGUUUAACGUCCCUAAAUGUUAUAACGGACACAGACAUUUCGAAUGUUCAUGGAGCACCCAAGUUAGCCAUAGCUACCUCAACAUCUACGCAGCAGGAAAACAGUGCAAUUCUCAACCCCUCAAAAACUACCUGGGCAGUCCGACGCAGGACCAAAAUGGCCGAAUCCAAAGAAAACGCUAGCUCCUUGCAAGAACAGCUCCGACAGCUUGCCAUUAUAGAAGAAGAGGAAAAUACUCAAACUAACGAUGUAAGUGGAAAUAGUAUUGACAGAGUGUCAAGGUCAAAGAACUCGAGCGUUAAACUGAGAAAUUCUCCAGAGGAACCCAGUGUAGAUGAAAGCAUGGAUUCAGUGACUUCUGACCUUGAGAAAUUUGAAGGUGAUUUGUAUGACAAAAUGAUUGACAUGGAUCGAAACUACAGGAACUACUGUGGAUUUGAUAAGGAUUUCGAUGUAAAAACUGCUGAUUCUAAAGUGCUUUACUUUCAGGACAAAGUUUUGAAGCAGAAUUACGGAAGUGAUAAUUAUUACAAUCCCAGGGGAUAUUACGGCAAGGAGUAUGGUGAGGCGGGCAGUGAGAGAUUAGACUCUUCGAUGGGCUCGGUUGGAUCCUUGCCCCGGAAUAUGUCCCUUCCCAGGGACUACACUUCACAAGAGAAUUCCUCCUACAGAUCUUCUACCAGUUACAGUUCUGGGGUAGGAUCUGUGGACGGACGAUUUCACCAGCUCACAAACAUGAGUAUGGACAAUAUUCGAGUCCCUAAAAAUUUGACUUUGCCCGGUAUGCCCGGCAAGGGACAUUUUUCAUCUUCGGAUAAUUUAACUCAAAACGGGAGGAGACCUUUAUUUGCGAGUUCUGCGGACAUCCAGAAAUUGUUUCAAACUCGUGAUAAUAUCAGUGAUCAAUUACAAAGACCUGCAUCCUGUAGACACAGUUUCCAUGCAAUGCCAUGCACGCAGCAAUGGAUUGUGGAUGCCCAAAACCAGGCCGACAUUAAUGUGCCAAGGCCUAGAGCAGCCUCAGCAAGUGUCUCCUCCAAAUCUAAAUCCUCAUGGAAUCCUUUCGGAGGAAUGUUUAGUAAAAAGAAAAAUAAAUCGGGUGGUUCGAGUCAGGAUGUUACAAGCAAAAACAAGACGCGUGCUGAAACUUCUCCAGCCCAGAAACCCAUUAUUAAGUCUGGGACAAAUGUGUCUUCCUUGCCGAAUGGACCGCUGAGGCGAUAUGCUGAAAAGAAGGGCAUUGAAGCCCUUCCUAAUGGUAAUGCUUAUGACCUGCCAUUUCGAACUGUGAAACAAACUGCACCUUCAGGCAGUAAGUUGUCAACUCUGGUGUAAAGAACAUUAUCUUAAUAACUGACAAGCAUUUAAGAGUUAUCUUUCUUUGAUCAGCAUGUUAUUGAGAGCAGAUCUGUGUUACAAUGAUAAUCAAUAACAAAAUUGAUCAUUUAUUGUCAUCAAUGUAAUAAAUCAUCAGCUUAUGUAUUAUAAAUCAGUAAGGUUUUUUUUCUCAGGGGUUUCAUAAAUUCAUCAUAAAAUUCUAAUUCCUAUAGGGUUUUACCAUCAUUCUUUCAUAUCAUUCAAAACAAUUUUAAUGUAAUCUUGUUUUUUAUUUAGUUUAGACGUACAUUGUACAUGUAGUUGCAUACAUUUUCUACAUGUUUUUUCAGUACAUGCAUUGAUGAAUGUAUUUUUUUCAUACAUUUUAUAUGAUACAUGUACAUGUAUUUUAUUGUUUUAAAUUUUGCACCCAUUUGGGAUUUAAUCCUUUAACAGAACUAGCAGUGAAAUAUUCAAUGUCUUGGCAUUUUCAAUGUUACGGGUAUCAAUUUUUCAAUUCUGAAUUUAAAAAUAUGGAAAAUAAAAAACCUUUCAGUGGCAUUUCAGAACCUUUUAAAAUCAACACUGACAACAGGUACAUUUGGAAAUGUAGUUCAGUAUUUCAAAGCUCGUCAUUUAUAAUAGACUGUCAUUUAAUAGAAAUUUAUGCCUGUGGCACUGUUUAAUGGUAGAGAUAUUUAUCUCGCAUAUUUUAGCUAAUUUUAGAAUUCUCAAACUUAUUUUACAAUUUUUAAAUGUGUAAUUUUUAUUAGGAAUUUUGUCUCUGGAACUCAAAAUGCAGUUUUUAUUUACACAUCAUUUUAAUUAUGUAUUAUAAAGAUUUUAACUUUAAAUGUCAUUUUAUUUAUCCCUUUUUCAUUGUUAAUGCUUACACAUAAUUUUGUUGAUUGUUGACAAACUUUCGAGGUAUGGUUGUUACAAUGUGCCAUUCUUGCAGCUUUCCCCCAUUUUUUCCCAUUGAAUUAUAUGGCAACAUCAUGUUGGGGUGUACAUGUACAUUUGAUAUUUUCCACCUAUAACAUCAGAUGUUUGUAUAGUGCUACUAGUCUUGACUUGUUUGCUACCUGGCCUGCCUCUGAUUUCAAUUUCUACACCCAGAAGACAGGAAAGUGGGAUUUUGUGUCUCAAAAUUAAGAGCUUAUUUCAAAUACAUGUAUCAAUCGUUGAUUCUAUAGCAGUGGAACUAAUGUGAAAUUACAGAUCCGUAUAUAUGAUUUUGUCUAUAAUUUUCUUUUUUCGCAAUCAGAAGAUUUUUGGUAGAGUUCUUGAAUAAUGUUUUGCAUUUCAUUAUUAUCUAUAUACAAGCUCACAAUUUAUAAGUGAGAUCUGUAUUCAAUUUUUGUUAACAAAUUGUCAGGUGGGACAAAUUUAUGUCUUCUGCUGAAUUUGGUGAACACAUCAGAUUUGUUUUCUGUGAUAAAUGAAUAGGAGCCAGCUCUUGUUAAGAUUAAUAUGAAAGGUGGAUCUAUGCAGGUAUUAAAAAAGCUGUAUUUGUACAGGUGUAUUCUAAUUCUAUCCAUGUAGCAUUUAUUGUCACUAAAUCAAAAUAAAAUA